rnacentral:rRNA from 1 species
UGGAGAGUUUGAUCCUGGCUCAGGACGAACGCUGGCGGCGUGCUUAACACAUGCAAGUCGAACGGAAAGGUCUCUUCGGAGAUACUCGAGUGGCGAACGGGUGAGUAACACGUGGGCGAUCUGCCCUGCACUUCGGGAUAAGCCUGGGAAACUGGGUCUAAUACCGGAUAGGACCACGGGAUUCAUGUCCUGUGGUGGAAAGCUUUUGCGGUGUGGGAUGGGCCCGCGGCCUAUCAGCUUGUUGGUGGGGUAACGGCCUACCAAGGCGACGACGGGUAGCCGGCCUGAGAGGGUGUCCGGCCACACUGGGACUGAGAUACGGCCCAGACUCCUACGGGAGGCAGCAGUGGGGAAUAUUGCACAAUGGGCGCAAGCCUGAUGCAGCGACGCCGCGUGGGGGAUGACGGCCUUCGGGUUGUAAACCUCUUUCACCAUCGACGAAGGUUCGGGUUUUCUCGGAUUGACGGUAGGUGGAGAAGAAGCACCGGCCAACUACGUGCCAGCAGCCGCGGUA